GCGCCGUUGGUGCAGUGGUUAGCAUGCUCGCCUUCCAAGCGAGCGACCGGAGUUCGAGUCUCCGGCGGCGCA